CUUUGACCCUUUCCACCUAGUCUCCUGGAUGCACGCUAUGUUAACCCUUCUCUGCUGAAGAACCUUCACCAACUCAAUGGACUUACCCGUCAGAGUACCUAUGUUCCAAGACCCAAUCCUCAAUCUAUGGGCGUCCGCCGCCCUCUUCCCACCCUUACCUCCCGCCCUGCACGUAGUGCCACCCCCUGCUCCCUUACUCACCCCCGCUGCCACCCCCACCCCCUGAGGACAUGACCUUACGCUAUCAUCCCCCGCCGCGGCCACUAUCCCACCAACCGAUAUGGGGUACAGUGGCACAC
rnacentral:lncRNA from 1 species